UCCCUGGUAGCUCAGAGGUUAGAGAGUCUGCCUGCAAUGCGGGAGACCCAGGUUCAAUCCCUGGGUUGGGAA
rfam:Ovis aries breed Texel chromosome 13, whole genome shotgun sequence.